CUGUUACUGUUUCGCACUUUUAAUAUUCCAGUCUGAGAAGAUCUAACGUGAAAGGCAUGCCCUGAGGCAGUUUUUUUUUCAUCCCAUUAUGUUUGUUUG
rnacentral:lncRNA from 1 species